CAGCGUCACGAGUGGCAACCAUAUUUAUUGGGCCUAAAGCGUCCGUAGCCUGUUUGAUAAGUCUUUUGUGAAAUCGUUGAGCUCAACUUAACGUCGUGCAAGAGAUACUGUCAGACUUGGAAUUGGGAAGAGUUAGAGGUAUUCUGGGGGGAGCGGUAAAAUGCUAUAAUCCCUGGAGGACCACCAGUGGCGAAAGCGUCUAACUAGAACAACUUCGACGGUGAGGGACGAAAGCCAGGGGAGCAAAACGGAUUAGAGACCCGAGUAGUCC
rnacentral:rRNA from 1 species